rnacentral:ncRNA from 1 species
GGAAAUGCAUUGAUGGGAAAAAGUAGAUGCGACUGUCCUAAAGAGAGUCGGCGGCUGGUGGAAGCCGAUGGGCAAGGCAUUGAAUUCCAUCCCGGAGCAGCCUGUGAUGAACAGGAACGGUAAAUACCGUUAAAUACUUGAGAGAGCAGUAUAUGCUGCUAAUUAGGGUGGCAACGCGGAAAACCUUUCGUCCCUUUA